GAGAGGGCUUGAGGUCAAUGGUAUUUAAAGGGAAGGGGCUAGGCCGACUGAUUUCUCAGGUCCUUUUAGCCCUGGGAGUCCGUUACAGCCUCACAAGGUUCCCGAUUGAAUCUAAGUGCGUCUUUGCUGCCACAGCAGAUGCUGCCUCUGAUUCACAUUAUGCCGGGUGUAUAAAAAUCCUCCUUUGUCGUCAUCCUGCGAGAGCCUGGCCCUCCUUGGAGAGGAUAUUCUCAGAGAGGGCGUGAUGUCUCAGACAGGAGCCUGCAGGCCGAGUGGAGACAAGAAUAACACUUGACUAUUUCACGGAUCCAAGACUUCCCAACAAGAUUCACAUGCAGCUAAUUAAGGAGAAGAAAGCGGCUUAAUUAGCAAAAUCACGAUGCUCAGCUGUUGAGAGAGACCAGAAAGAAUCCAGCCUCUGGGUCAUCUGAAAGCCAGAGAGCUUUGUUGCCCUCAGUGUGGGUUUCCAGGCUGCCCUGGGCUGCGCCUGCUGUUGCAAAGGCUUUUAAAGAUACUCAUUAAAAGCAGACCUUCCUGUGC